rnacentral:rRNA from 1 species
GUAGCGUAAUCACUUGUUCUUUAAAUCAGGACUAGUAUGAAUGGCAUCACGAGGGUUAUACUGUCUCCUUUUUCUAAUCAGUGAAACUAUUCUCCCCGUGAAGAAACGAGGAUAUUUUUAUAAGACGAGAAGACCCUAUGGAGCUUUAAAUUUUAUUUCAUUUGCUCUCCUUAUCCCCAGCCCCAGCCUCUUAAUUUUAACUGAGCAUACUGAUAAUGAAUUUUAGGUUGGGGUGACCGCGGAGCAUAAAAAAACCUCCGCAUAGAAUGGGCCUAAGCCUUGAACAAAGAGCUUCAACUCCAAGUACUAACACAUUAACAUCCAUUGACCCAAUAUUUUUGAUCAACGAACCAAGUUACCCUAGGGAUAACAGCGCAAUCUACUUUGAGAGCUCCUAUCGACAAGUAGGUUUACGACCUCGAUGUUGGAUCAGGGUAUCCCAGUGGUGCAGCCGCUACUAAAGGUUCGUUUGUUCAACGAUUAAAACCCUACGUGAUCUGAGUUCAG